rnacentral:tRNA from 1 species
CGUGGAGAGGCUUAAAGUAAGCGAUGGUCUCUUAAACCAUUGAAGGUGGUUCACGCCCACCCUUGACGG